AUCCAACUGACGAGUCCCAAAUAGGACGUAAUGUGCGUCAAACUGGAU
rfam:Schistosoma curassoni strain Dakar, Senegal genome assembly, scaffold: SCTD_scaffold0000093